rnacentral:rRNA from 1 species
AUUGAACGCUGGCGGCAGGCCUAACACAUGCAAGUCGAGCGGAUGAAGGGAGCUUGCUCCUGGAUUCAGCGGCGGACGGGUGAGUAAUGCCUAGGAAUCUGCCUGGUAGUGGGGGAUAACGUCCGGAAACGGGCGCUAAUACCGCAUACGUCCUGAGGGAGAAAGAGGGGGAUCUUCGGACCUCACGCUAUCAGAUGAGCCUAGGUCGGAUUAGCUAGUUGGUGGGGUAAAGGCCUACCAAGGCGACGAUCCGUAACUGGUCUGAGAGGAUGAUCAGUCACACUGGAACUGAGGCACGGUCCAGACUCCUACGGGAGGCAGCAGUGGGGAAUAUUGGACAAUGGGCGAAAGCCUGAUCCAGCCAUGCCGCGUGUGUGAAGAAGGUCUUCGGAUUGUAAAGCACUUUAAGUUGGGAGGAAGGGCAGUAAGUUAAUACCUUGCUGUUUUGACGUUACCAACAGAAUAAGCACCGGCUAACUUCGUG